rnacentral:rRNA from 1 species
CCUACGGGAGGCAGCAGUGAGGAAUAUUGGUCAAUGGCCGUAAGGCUGAACCAGCCAAGCCGCGUGAAGGAAGAAGGAUCUAUGGUUUGUAAACUUCUUUUAUAGGGGAAUAAAGGUAUCCACGUGUGGAUAUUUGCAUGUACCCUAUGAAUAAGCAUCGGCUAACUCCGUGCCAGCAGCCGCGGUAAUACGGAGGAUGCGAGCGUUAUCCGGAUUUAUUGGGUUUAACGGGUGCGUAGGUUGUUUUUUAAGUUAGCGGUGAAAGUUUGUGGCUCAACCAUAAAAUUGCCGUGGAAACUGGAAGACGUGAGUGUGUUUGAGGUAGGCGGAAUGCGUGGUGUAGCGGUGAAAUGCAUAGAUAUCACGAAGAACUCCGAUUGCGAAGGCAGCUUACUAAGCCAUAACUGACACUGAAGCACGAAAGCGUGGGGAUCAAACAGGAUUAGAUACCCUUGUAGUC